GACGAACGCUGGCGGCGUGCUUAACACAUGCAAGUCGAACGGUGAAGCGCCUUCCUUUUUGGUGGGUGUGGAUGAGUGGCGAACGGGUGAGUAACACGUGGGUAACCUGCCCCCUUCUUCUGGAUAACCGCAUGAAAGUGUGGCUAAUACGGGAUAUUCUGGGUCUGUCGCAUGAUGGGUCUGGGAAAGAUAUUGUUUCGGUGGGGGAUGGGCUCGCGGCCUAUCAGCUUGUUGGUGGGGUGAUGGCCUACCAAGGCGGUGACGGGUAGCCGGCCUGAGAGGGUGGACGGUCACACUGGGACUGAGACACGGCCCAGACUCCUACGGGAGGCAGCAGUGGGGAAUAUUGCACAAUGGGCGCAAGCCUGAUGCAGCGACGCCGCGUGAGGGAUGGAGGCCUUCGGGUUGUGAACCUCUUUCGCCAGUGAAGCAGGCCUGCCUCGUUUGUGGGUGGGUUGACGGUAGCUGGAUAAGAAGCGCCGGCUAACUACGU
rnacentral:rRNA from 1 species